GGUAUUGUUUGCCCCACGAUAAGCCCCGGAAACUUAUUAGGUGUCGAACAAACACGGA
rfam:Lactobacillus fructivorans strain DmCS_002 contig28, whole genome shotgun sequence.